rnacentral:rRNA from 1 species
CCUACGGGAGGCAGCAGUGGGGAAUAUUGGACAAUGGGGGGAACCCUGAUCCAGCCAUGCCGCGUGUGUGAAGAAGGCCCUCGGGUUGUAAAGCACUUUCAGCGAGGAAGAACGCCUAGCGGUUAAUACCCGCUAGGAAAGACAUCACUCGCAGAAGAAGCACCGGCUAACUCCGUGCCAGCAGCCGCGGUAAUACGGAGGGUGCAAGCGUUAAUCGGAAUUACUGGGCGUAAAGCGCGCGUAGGUGGCUUGAUAAGCCGGUUGUGAAAGCCCCGGGCUCAACCUGGGAACGGCAUCCGGAACUGUCAAGCUAGAGUGCAGGAGAGGAAGGUAGAAUUCCCGGUGUAGCGUUGAAAUGCGUAGAGAUCGGGAGGAAUACCAGUGGCGAAGGCGGCCUUCUGGACUGACACUGACACUGAGGUGCGAAAGCGUGGGUAGCAAACAGGAUUAGAUACCCUGGUAGUCCACGCCGUAAACGAUGUCGACCAGCCGUUGGGUGCCUAGCGCACUUUGUGGCGAAGUUAACGCGAUAAGUCGACCGCCUGGGGAGUACGGCCGCAAGGUUAAAACUCAAAUGAAUUGACGGA